GUGAGAGAAUAAAUUUCCUUUUCCAUUUGGCAGUCAGUGAAGAAGCCAGUAUUCCCUGCUCUGUGAGAGAGUGGACCAGAUGACCCCUCCAGCUCCCUCCAGCCCUUAAGCUUCUGUGAUCAUUCUUGAGAAUGUCCUGCAGCUUGCAGAGGUCGUAAGGGUCUUUGGCUUUCAUCUUUCUUUUUCUUUCCUCACUGGGUCUGGAGAAGCUAAUGGCAUUAUUAAGAAGAACCUGCAGCUCUGUCUCUCCCUCAAAGAGAUUGAAGAGAAGGAGCAAUUGUUAAGGCAGAAAAUGCUUGGAACUUAAUGAAUCUCAUCUCAGACAUAUUUUGGUUAUUCAGUGGAAAGACAAAGGAAGCCUUCUAUGGAAUGGAUGUGGGAAGACAUGAAUUGCAAACUACAGAAGUUUUAACAGAGAGAAGAAGGGAAAGGGAGAUAUCAGGCCAUUAGGGACAUCCACAGAUGAAGAAACUGAAGUAGAUAGAGGAAAAGUGACUUGCCUGGAGUUCUACAAAUAGUAAGUUUCUAAGGCUAGAUUUGAAUUCAACUCUAUACAAUGAAUACAACAUUCUG
rnacentral:lncRNA from 1 species